UGGGCGAAGGAGAGGCUCCGGGGCCAUUUUGUGAGCGAACGUCGCCGUUAGAUCAGCUGCUGCUGCUGUUGCUGCUUCUCUGUCCCUCCGCGUCCGCUCUGCCUGCCUCCCUCUGCCUGCCCGGGCCUCGCCGGCUGCUUGCCUCCCUCCCUCCCUCUCUUGUCUCUCUCUUUCUCGGCCCCCGCUUCCUCUCGCUGCUGAACCUGAGGGAGCCCCGGGCGAACGCAGCCGCGGUCUUUUCCCCCCCGAGCAGCGCCCAGCCACAGAAUCGCAUGUCCACUAUCCAGAACCUCCAAUCCUUCGGUAAGAAGCGGCGGCCCCCGCGCAGCUAGCGCAGGAUCGGACGGGGAUUGGCGCAAAGGGCCGGCAGCGAAGACGCCCCACCUCCGCCCCGUGCUCCCCCGGUCUUUGGUGGAGGGAAAUUGGGCUCGGGGAUGCCCAUCCCAGGUGUCUGUUAUCCUGGCAGCAAACGGGGUGCGCAUAAGGGGGGGUCCCCUCUUGCCUCCGUCCCCCCUGCCCUUCCUCUUCCCCCCGGCAAAGCCUAUGCAUCCCUUUGCGCAGCAUCCAGGAGGUUGAAAUAAACGGGUGCAUGGAUGGAGCGUGCAAUAUUUUUGGGGGGGGGGUCCCAGCAGAGACACCUCUUUCCCUACGCUGCGCCCAGUCCAUUAAUUUUGUUAAGCUGCAAGGGUUUGCUGCGGAAGAUGCCCCGGUUGGCACGGGGCUUUGCAUUUUCCUGCCCCUGGUCUUACAAAGGGAAGGUGAGCUGUGCCAGCCUUUGCCCCUCUGUGCUUGCCCCCACACCCUUCACCCUCUCUCCUUUCACGCAGAGUUGAUUCCUUGCUAUGGGGCCGGGACACAUCUGCUUGACCCCUGCUAUCUAAAAACGUUGGGUGCUCAAUGGCUUAAAAGUGCCUUCCUGGAGGCCGUGUGUUUUGUGAAUGGGAGGGCCAGAGUUCUUCCCACCAAAUGUCAAAGAGAAAAACAACUACCAGACUUUUAGAAGACAUCUGAAGACAGCCCUGUUUAGGGAAGCUUUUAAUGUUUGAUGGACUAGUGUAUUUUAAUAUUUUGUUGGAAGUCGCCCUGGGGAAACCCAGCCAGAUGGGCGGGGUAUAAAUAAAUAAAUAAAUAAAUAAAUAUAUUAUUAUUAAUAAUAAUUAUGGUAUCACUUUAACAGGCUUCUGCUGUGUUCUGCUAGUUGGCGAUUGCUUUGCUAACUGGGACUUGAGGGUGUAGCUUGUGGGUUUCCCCAAACUUGGGUUGCCAGCUGUUUUUGGACUACAGUUGCCAUCAUCCCCGAACACCGAAGCUGCUAGCUAGGGAUAAUGGGAGUUGUAAUCCAGAAACAGUUGGAGACUCAGAUUUUGGAAACACUGGUCUAGGUUAAAACACUUUAUUAACCUCGGUCCACAUUGUAUAGUCCUCUGUUAAGACUUUGUUUGCUGAUGUAAACUCUAGUAAACUCCUGCUCCCGUUACCAAUAUCUUUGUGACAAAUCAUUGAGUAAGGUAUCAAUGCAACACCCUCUAUAUAGCUGGCUAGCCUAAUGCACAGGACCUUGUCCACUGACUCAACCGAUCCAGCUAUUUCCAUUUGGUGGCUGACAAACGUCUGUUAUUACUGCAUUGACCAAAUUUGGUUUGUAGCCUACUGUAGACUCUUCCACAUUUGUAUUGCCAGUUGUUGAUAUAAAGCUGUGCUAACAGCGUAUUUAAGAACUGGGAUAAAAUGCAACCUCCUGGCCAGCAAGGGUAAGGUUAGUGGAGUAGUAGCAAGUCUUGCAUCCUCAGCCCUUUCACUUGCCCUGCCAGGAUUGAAGCUGGGGCCCAGGGGACCCUUGUUGGUAAUGGGAAGAGGCCUAAACUGGGUCUGUUGCUGUCACACAAUGGCAGAAGGGCCAACUCUGGAUCCGGUGGAUUUUGUACCAGCAAGCUCUUCUCUCUUUCUUUUUCUUUUAGGGAGGUUGUGUUCUGCUAGCUAUCAACAGCAGGAAUGUAACACCAGUGGUAGCUUCCACCGACUUAACUUUUCCUCCCCAACAGAAGGACUGGGUGGAGGGACCCCUUUGCCUCAAGAAAUCCCCUCCCCCCCCUCCCAGCAUUGCGGUUCAGGAAUUUGGCUUGCUCUGCCCAUUUGACAUCUUGCUAGCUGUCUGGGCAGCUCAGAUCACCAGCCCUGCAGUUCAUUCCUGCACAGUUCUCAGAGCUAUAAUGACAGAAACUUUCCCUCUCCUUUCAUUUGCUAACUUAAAACUUGUAUUUUUGGGGGGGGCGGGGGCAGGGGGAGAGCUGCCUUGUCGCAUGUUCUUUCUUGAGGGGAUCAAUGUUCUUGAGGGAUCUAUUUGACAUUAUUCUCCUGAGGAGCAUUCAGUGAAGUGAUUCCCUCCCCUCCUGUCUAUGCUUAGGGGGUGGGGAACCUGUGCCCCCCCAGAUGAUGAUGGAUUACAGUGCUCAUCAUCCCAGGUCAGGCUGGAAAAGCUAAUGAGAGUUGGGAGUCCAGCAACAUCUCUCUCUCUCUCUCUUUCUCCCCCCCCCCAGCCUAGGCAAAGCUUUUGUACCUCAGACUCCCCAUUUUCUCCUACCAGUCUUGAGGUCAAUUUCUCCUCUAUCCAGGGAAUUUAUUUUGUGGUAUUCUUCUUUCUAUGCAAAGAGCCCUCAUUUUAUCGUUGUCCUAGCCAUCAGUUCUAAAAUUGCACUCCUUGAUUUGCAUUUAACACAGAUACAUCCACCUUGCCGGGAAUAAACUUCCUGAUCUGUUGCAAACAGCUUUUUUGAGGACCUUUUCAUUUGUAGGGGUUUAUGCCUGAAUUGGAUAGGACUUUAGAAUGUGUCAAUUGCUAAGGGAGGGAAAGGUGGAAAAUUGAUCAUGGUUUUUCAGUCUGACUCCGCUUUGACUCUGCUCUUUCAGUUGGGGAGUGCAGAUUUUGUGGGCUUGGUCUCUGCAGCUAAGGGUAGGACAGGAGCAGUAGAAGAUCCUUCAGCUAAAAUUCUGCCGUAUUCUCCCAUAAUCCACUUUCUGCUUCACAGAACACAGCACCAUUUUAAGGAGUUCGCAGAGGUAGUCAACCUUUGUCUAAGCUCUGACUGCAGGGAGGGAGGUUAUAUGACUCGCUGCUCCUCAUUCAGAAUAAAAACAUGAAAAACAAUAAGAUUCUUUAACCCUCCUUCAGCCGGAACUGUGGCACAGGCUUGUAGCCUCUCAGAGCUAGACUUGGUCAUACUGUAUUGGAGUCUGUGAACACGUUUUUGCAACUUUUGCAGUGACGCAGAAGUAGCCUGAUGGGAGUUGGAGCCAAUGACGCUCAUAGGGCCAGAGUUUCCUCAUUCAUGCAAUACGAUUUGAAUGCUAGGGCCAUGUAGAAUUCUCUGCCUUCCCUCAUUGUACAGCUUGUACCCGGUGUUUAUAUUGGACUUGCCCUUGCCUCCCCUUGUUAACUUGCCAAAGCAUUACCUCUAGGUUCAUUGUGCAGCUGCAGGGGGGCUCCUAUGUGUCAAUGGGUAAGCCCAACAGGCCUCUCCAGUGCCUGGUGUGAACCGACAGUGUACCUUGGAAGUGGCCCCAGAAUCUCCCCUCUACAAUGCACAGGAGUUGCAUGGCAGACUGCUGUGGAAGGAGUUCUUUGAAGACCCCUUUGCUGAUGCAACUAAGGGUGACGACUUACUCCCGGCAGGGACUGAAGACUACAUUCAUAUAAGGAUCCAGCAACGAAACGGCAGAAAGACACUAACUACUGUUCAAGGAAUUGCAGAUGACUAUGACAAAAAGAAGCUUGUGAAAGCCUUCAAAAAGGUAGAGCUGUUCUUCUCCUAGGUCCUGAAGUUUUUGAUCUUGAAAGAGAAAUGCAUGUAGAUCAAAAAUUUCCAGUGGGAAAGUGAAAGAUCAAACGCUGUGACAGGCGUGUUAAAUGUUUUGGUUGAGACAGCUUUCCAGUAUAAGACCAUUUCAGAUGUUGAAUGCACUGACAGGAGCAGCCAGUCUUAACUGAAAAAAAAUAUGUUUGAGCAGUGUGCUGGUCAAUUUAGUUGCAAUAACCAGCUUUCAUGCUCUUUUCUACAAUUGUCACUGUCUAGGAAUGGAUCCAGACCCUUUAAAAUGACUUUAAAGCCACAUAAGGAGAUAUAUUGCUGCAAAAGAAAUUUGCCUGUAAUGGUACUGUGAUUGAGCACCCGGAAUACGGGGAGGUGAUCCAGCUGCAAGGGGACCAGAGGAAGAACAUUUGCCAGUUCCUCCUAGAGGUUCUAACUGCUGCGGGCUUACUGCCAUCUCCUUCUCUUCUGCAGGUUGGCAUUGUCAAGGAGGAGCAGCUGAAAGUUCACGGCUUCUAAAAUGUGUGUGUUUACAUGAAGAACUUCUGCAGGUUUUGUUCUUACCCAAGCUGGCUACUCUGUGAAAAAUGAUUCUUUGCAGUCGAUGGACUUCCCAUUCAAAACCUUAUUUGCUUUUGCAUGACUACAGAAAACAUAUGGAGUGUAGGCUAGAAACACA